CAGAGUUUGAUCCUGGCUCAGAGCGAACGCUGGCGGCAGGCUUAACACAUGCAAGUCGAGCGGGCGUAGCAAUACGUCAGCGGCAGACGGGUGAGUAACGCGUGGGAACGUACCUUUUGGUUCGGAACAACACAGGGAAACUUGUGCUAAUACCGGAUAAGCCCUUACGGGGAAAGAUUUAUCGCCGAAAGAUCGGCCCGCGUCUGAUUAGCUAGUUGGUGAGGUAACGGCUCACCAAGGCGACGAUCAGUAGCUGGUCUGAGAGGAUGACCAGCCACACUGGGACUGAGACACGGCCCAGACUCCUACGGGAGGCAGCAGUGGGGAAUCUUGGACAAUGGGCGAAAGCCUGAUCCAGCCAUGCCGCGUGAGUGAUGAAGGCCCUAGGGUUGUAAAGCUCUUUCGACGGGGACGAUAAUGACGGUACCCGUAGAAGAAGCCCCGGCUAACUUCGUGCCAGCAGCCGCGGUAAUA
rnacentral:rRNA from 1 species